rnacentral:misc_RNA from 1 species
AAGGAGUCUAACAUGUGUGCGAGUUUUUGGGUGGCAAACCCAUGAGCGUAAUGAAAGUGAAUGCUGGUGGGAUCCGCAAGGAGCACCAUCGACCGGCCCUGAUGUUCUCGGAUGGGUCUGCGUAAGAGCAUAUAUGUUGGGACCCGAAAGAUGGUGAACUAUGCCUGAAUAGGGCGAAGCCAGAGGAAACUCUGGUGGAGGCUCGCAGCGGUUCUGACGUGCAAAUCGAUCGUCAAUUUUGGGUAUGGGGGCGAAAGACUAAUGGAACCAUCUAGUAGCUGGUUCCGGC